UGGGGAAUUUUGGACAAUGGGGGAAACCCUGAUCCAGCCAUCCCGGGUGUGCGAUGAAGGCCUUCGGGUUGUAAAGCACUUUUGGCAGGAAAGAAACGUCAUGGGUUAAUACCCCGUGAAACUGACGGUACCUGCAGAAUAAGCACCGGCUAACUACGUGCCAGCAGCCGCGGUAAUACGUAGGGUGCAAGCGUUAAUCGGAAUUACUGGGCGUAAAGCGUGCGCAGGCGGUUCGGAAAGAAAGAUGUGAAAUCCCAGAGCUCAACUUUGGAACUGCAUUUUUAACUACCGGGCUAGAGUGUGUCAGAGGGAGGUGGAAUUCCGCGUGUAGCAGUGAAAUGCGUAGAUAUGCGGAGGAACACCGAUGGCGAAGGCAGCCUCCUGGGAUAACACUGACGCUCAUGCACGAAAGCGUGGGGAGCAAACAGG
rnacentral:rRNA from 1 species